rnacentral:rRNA from 1 species
CGCAGCGAAAUGCGAUACGUAGUGUGAAUUGCAGAAUUCCGCGAAUCAUCGAGUCUUUGAACGCAACUUGCGCCCGAGGCUCGUCCGAGGGCAUUUCCGCCAGAGCGUCAACGCG